AUUGAACGCUGGCGGAAUGCUUUACACAUGCAAGUCGAACGGUAGAGGGGGCAACCCCUUGAGAGUGGCGAACGGGUGAGUAAUGUAUCGGAACGUGCCCAGUCGUGGGGGGAUAACGUAGUGAAAAUUACGCUAAUACCGCAUACGAUCUAUGGAUGAAAGCGGGGGAUCGCAAGACCUCGCGCGAUUGGAGCGGCCGAUAUCAGAUUAGGUAGUUGGUGGGGUAAAGGCUCACCAAGCCAACGAUCUGUAGCUGGUCUGAGAGGACGACCAGCCACACUGGAACUGAGACACGGUCCAGACUCCUACGGGAGGCAGCAGUGGGGAAUUUUGGACAAUGGACGCAAGUCUGAUCCAGCCAUUCCGCGUGCAGGACGAAGGCCUUCGGGUUGUAAACUGCUUUUGUACGGAACGAAAAAGCUCUUAUUAAUACUAGGAGUCCAUGACGGUACCGUAAGAAUAAGCACCGGCUAACUACGUGCCAGCAGCCGCGGUAAUACGUAGGGUGCAAGCGUUAAUCGGAAUUACUGGGCGUAAAGCGUGCGCAGGCGGUUAUAUAAGACAGAUGUGAAAUCCCCGAGCUUAACUUGGGAACUGCAUUUGUGACUGUAUAGCUAGAGUACGGCAGAGGGGGAUGGAAUUCCGCGUGUAGCAGUGAAAUGCGUAGAUAUGCGGAGGAACACCGAUGGCGAAGGCA
rnacentral:rRNA from 1 species